CGCGGGUUCAAGCCUGUAGCCCAAAAUCGGAUAAUCUCUGCAGCUGAUAACAAGCAAAAGAGAAGCCAGGCAACAGCCAUAUUACAGAAGAAAACACUCAACUCUGAGG
rfam:Oryctolagus cuniculus chromosome 14, whole genome shotgun sequence.